rnacentral:misc_RNA from 1 species
CAGAGUUCUCGCCCUAACGGGUAGACCUCCCACCCACUGUGAUUGUUACCGUCGUUGCUUUGGCGGGCCGCUGGGCCUAGCCCGGCCACCGGCCCCGGCUGGUGCGCGCCCGCCAGAGGCUCCGCAAACUCUAGAUGUCUACGUCGUCUGAGUACUAUAUAAUAGUUA